rnacentral:tRNA from 1 species
CAUGUGCAUUGGUUGAAGGUUUCGAUAAAAAUUUUAGCUGCUAGUUAGGGCGGCCCCGGAUCGUCACCCGGUGCUCGUGU